rnacentral:rRNA from 1 species
UACGGAGGAUGCAAGCGUUAUCCGGAAUGAUUGGGCGUAAAGCGUCCACAGGUGGUGUUGUAAGUCUGUUGUUAAAGCGUGCGGCUUAACCGCAUAAGGGCGAUGGAAACUACAAGACUAGAGUGCGUUAGGGGUAGAGGGAAUUCCUGGUGUAGCGGUGAAAUGCGUAGAGAUCAGGAAGAACACCGGUGGCGAAAGCGCUCUACUAUGCCGCAACUGACACUGAGGGACGAAAGCUAGGGGAGCGAAGGGG